GUUUGACAAUUAAUGCUAAUAUUAACUUAAGUUCAUUUGCUCCAAAUGAAUCAUGUUUCCACAAUAAAUAGAUGAAUAUAUAGAUAUUAUAUGUUUGUGCGUAGUUGAGUGUGUGAUACUAAGCACUGAAGAACAAAGCACGCAUACUUCACAAAACAACUCAACAAUUGCCUGCCCUACCGUUAGAAAGUGAGAAGUUAACAUGGAAAAUUUUCUCAUGCUGAAGUUAAUUCAAUGACAAAGGUGUAAAAACAAAAAAGCCAAUCUCAUGAGCUUGCCCUAAAUAAUCAAAAUGUUCAUAUUUUCUCAGCGCUGAGGAGACACACACGGACAACCCCAAAUUACUUUGCUUAAUUGAGUUCAAAAUUUUGGUUCCGCAAACUUACAAAUACACGAAAAAAAUGUCUAAUUUAAAGUUUCAAUUAACAAAUUAUUGUCUACAAAUUAAUAAACAACUAACCUCAGGGCUAAUUUUGG
rnacentral:misc_RNA from 1 species